GAUUAAGCCAUGCAUGUCUAAGUACUUGCCAAACUAAGGCGAAACCGCGAAUGGCUCAUUAAAUCAGUUAUGGUUUACCUGACAGUUAGUUUACAUGGAUAACUGUGGUAAUUCUAGAGCUAAUACAUGCAGCAAGCCUUGACCCUUACGGGCAAGGCGCAGUUAUUAGAUCAAAAACCAAUCGGUUGUGUCUUCGGAUAUAGCCGUUACUUUGGUGACUCUGAGUAACCACAGCGAACCGUAUGGCCUUGUGCUCGACGGUCUGUCAGUCAAGCAACUGCCUUAUCAGCUUGUUGUUAGGUUAUAUGCCUAACAAGGCUUCAACGGGUAACGAACGAUCGGGGUCGGAUAUCGGAGAGGGAGCUUGAGAAACGGCUACCACAUCCAAGA
rnacentral:rRNA from 1 species